rnacentral:lncRNA from 1 species
GUACGUAUAAUACUCAUUUAUUUUCAAGAUAAAGAUAGGAUUUUUCUACAUCCACAGGAAACCCUCAAUUCCAGCACCUGUAGAACCCAAUAGUGGAAUGCUUUCCUUGCGAAAACUGACUCACAAUGACAAUGACGAAAAGGAAAGAAUAACCGGAGCUGCUUGAGGUAACAGGCAACCAAUAGGAACAUCCUCGAUGGAAUCACAGUUUCUAUCAGCAGUCUGAUAUAUUACAAUUCUUAUACUUCCUCAUGCAUGCACGAAUACUUCUAGGGUCAAAAAUCGAACACAUGCCUACAAUCCCAGAAAUG